rnacentral:rRNA from 1 species
CCUACGGGUGGCUGCAGUGGGGAAUUUUCGACAAUGGGGGAAACCCUGAUCCAGCAAUGCCGCGUGUGCGAAGAAGGCCUUCGGGUUGUAAAGCACUUUUGUCAGGGAAGAAAUCCUUUGGGCUAAUACCCUAGGGGGAUGACGGUACCUGAAGAAUAAGCACCGGCUAACUACGUGCCAGCAGCCGCGGUAAUACGUAGGGUGCAAGCGUUAAUCGGAAUUACUGGGCGUAAAGCGUGCGCAGGCGGUUGUGUAAGACAGGUGUGAAAUCCCCGGGCUUAACCUGGGAAUUGCAUUUGUGACUGCACGACUAGAGUGUGUCAGAGGGGGGUGGAAUUCCACGUGUAGCAGUGAAAUGCGUAGAUAUGUGGAGGAACACCAAUGGCGAAGGCAGCCCCCUGGGAUAACACUGACGCUCAUGCACGAAAGCGUGGGGAGCAAACAGGAUUAGAUACCCGAGUAGUC